CUCCCGGGCGGUCCUGCCGACCGGCCGCCGCGCCGGAUUCCCUCACGGCUUCUGGCAGCACCUCCCUCGCCUGCCUCCGCCCCCACCCCGGCCGCGUCCAGCGGCUGCCCCAGCUGCUGGGGACGGCCGCCGCGUCUCCUUCGUCCGGUGUCGAGCGGGCAGGGUGGUGGGUCGGCGGCGCCGGACGGGACGGGACGGGACGGGACGAGACGGGACGGGACGGACGGUCCCCCGGGGCCAGAAUGGUUGCCCGGGGAAAACAGCACUGCUAUGUUGGCAGAAUACAGGACGUUUUUGUGAGGUUUGGGAUUAUUCUAACAGUCCUUUUACUUCAUUUGUUCCUGGCCACAGCAAGCAAAGAUCAGGAGGAUUUCCUAGGACGCUAUAAAGCCAUCUUUAAGACUGCAUGUGAAGAUCCUUGGAUUAUGUCACCAAGAAUUUCUCUGCAUCCCUUGAAAGAAUUCAUUGUCUGUGUGCACCUCAAGCUAUAUUCCUCAAAUAGUCCCUGGACAGCGUAUGUAUACAGCCAGGAAACAUCUCACAGCAAUGUCUCUGCAAAUAAGUAUGAUCUUGGACUUAUAGGAGAUCACGGUAAAUUGAGGAUAUGGUUGUUUGGAAAACAAAUACAUACAACAGCAAGACUUCGUGACAACACUUGGAAUGACAUAUGUAUCCAGUGGAAAAGUGAAGAUGAAGAGAUGAAGGUAUUUAUAAAUAGAACAAAAAAAUUAAGCAAAAAAAUAACUGGGAAAGUUAAUCUCCCUGGAAAAGGACAGUUCUUACUUGGCUGUUCAAAGCUGCCAGGUACAGCUAUAUCACCUAACCUGGGUAUGACAGGGGAGCUCUACAUGUUCAGAAUGUGGGAUAAAGCAAAUAUAAAGCAAUCGGAGGACUGUGAAGAUAGUGGUGUUAUACGCUGGAGAAAGGAGGAUUGGGUCUAUAAUAAGACCAUAGAAGAGGAUAACUCUUUGCCAUGUGUUGAAACUACUGCAACGUUGCCUGGCAGAAAGCAGAUAACAGGUAAUGGAGUUCUGUAUGUUUUUUUCCCCAUUGUUCUUGUAUUUUGGAAAGUGCAUAAUGAAGAUUGCUGAUAGUGUUACUUUAUAAUUUAUGGAGAUAGUUAAGUAUAUGUAAGUAUUUGCAAAUUAAUUAUCCAUAUCAUCCUUGUGGCUUAUUAGCAUAUUUCAUGGUGCAAACAGCAUCAGUAAUUUUCCAGAGAAAAUGAAAAUAAGGUCACUGAGGUUACUCCAAUUCUCCUUUCAUUGCAGAAAUUAUAUUUACAUUUAUCCUUUGGAAAGAAGCUAUUACUAGUUUUCAUUAAGGCAAGCAAAAUAGUCUGAGCAAGGAAUCAUGUGAGUGAUUAGCAUUUCAGGAACUCCUUGUUUACCAUGUUUAACAAAAAAAAAUCUGGUUUUCCACAGAGACUUUUGGUAUCUCUGAAUAACUCUUCUACAAUAGUAGGAAAGGCCUUACAGUGUAAUUAGUGCAUUGUGAGUAACAAUCUAGGAUGA
rnacentral:lncRNA from 1 species